rfam:Salmo salar isolate Sally breed double haploid chromosome ssa01, whole genome shotgun sequence.
UUCACUACUUACUGUAAGUCGCUCUGGAUAAGAGCGUCAGCUAAAUGACUAAAA